AUUAUUAAAUUUUUUUUUUUCUCCUUGCAUUAACUCUGCUGACCCCAUAGUCGGCACAAGCCUCUGAUGAUGCUGAGGAAAAUUAAAGUACUCUAUUUCAAAUUCGGUUAUUCACACGAUAAGUGGACUAUUUGGGAAAUAAUAGGAUGGUUUGGAGGUUGUUUAUUACCAUUUUCAGUUCACAUGGCUUUGUUAAUUUUGUUUCAUUUCAAUCAGUUAAAUCGGUUGUGAUGGUUAGACAAUGAUAUAUUUACUGUAACCAUUGGGUGCUUGUUGAUAUUCUUUAAAUCUUCCUAGGAUUGCAUAAACUCAGUGAAUUUGGUUGUCUGAGAGAUUGACUAUUUACUACCCACUUUCAGUUUGCCAUCUUAUUGUAUAUCAACUGUAUUUGCAGAAUUCUGUCUGCCAUCCCUGUAAUUGAUAUACCUCUGAGCACAUAUUCCAAUGGUUUUGUUUUCCAUCUUUUUUUCCUGAAUGAGAUCGACAUUCAAGCAUGCAUAAGUUUUCAGUACAAGAAAUAGAUAUAUUCUUUAGUAUUAUUUGUUGUGUGACUUAGAAGAGUAGAAACCCAUCUCAAUUCGUGACUAUAUAGUCUAUAAACUUUAAUUUUUUGCAGGCUAUAUAGUCUAAGAUGGAUCGCAAGAGCUGGCCAUGGAAGAAGAAAUCAUCUGAGAAAACAGUGGCUGCAACAGAUUCUGCUGCUGCUUCUUUGGCUAUCUCAGCUGGAAAUCAAGGGGAUCAGGCGAUCUUAUGAAGUGGCUGGCCUAUCCACAUGGCAUGACACCUUUCCCUUUCUCAAUAGUAGCAUUACUGGGUCCCAGAUCUGAAUGGUUGGGAUUGAACUGUCAGGACAGGUAUCUCAAAAGGGAAAGAUAGGAAUAACAUUGAUUUCCCAAUGGAUGGUCUCCUUCUCUGCAUCUAAGGUGAAUGAUGAUGCAGCUCAAAGAGCUAUUGACUUCAUGUUGGGAUGGUUUUUGCAUCCCUUAAACGUAUGGUGAAUAUCCAAAUAGCAUGAGAUCUAACGUAGGAAAUCGGCUCCCAAAAUUCACCAAAAAGCAAUCUAAGAUGGUGAAAGCAUUGUUCGAUUUCAUUGGAGUGAAUUGCUAUACAACGAAUUACUCACAUUAUAUUCUUCAAUCAAAUAACGUUCCUGCCAGCUACAAUACGGACAGUCAUUGUAAUCUCACACGUAAAUUCCAAUAAACACCAUUUCAUCUCAGUUUCUCUCUCUCUCUCUCUUCUUUUUUUUUUUUUUCCUUUUUUUUAAAAGGCACUUAUUCAUUUCAUUUUUAUUUUUGCACGUUCUUAAAUAUAUAUUUUAUGUAAAGGCCUUCUUGGAUCAAGGGCAAUUGAUUAUUCUGACUGAUGAACAAAUUCUAUCUGAUGAAUGCAGGGCUUGGCUACAAUUUCUACCAUCCUUGAUUUUUCCUUGUUUGACACUUCAUGCUUUUGGACCGUCUAAUUACCUAAUUUGUUAAUUGGGUAAAGGGUUGUUGCUCAAAUGUCUCAACAACACACUUCAUGAAUUGGGUGGUAUUAAAAUUACCAAAUUCAUGAAUUACAUGUUGAUGCAAAACUUCUUGCAGGCUUCAUUUUUUCUUCUUUCUUUACAGUGAGCUUUGAAUAUUGGUCUUUCAUAUUCAUAUGCACUGGGCUUCAAUCAAUGCAGGGGUAUUUCUCAAUGGCUAAACAACAGAGUAGGACCCAAGGAAAAAGUGUUCUUUAUUCAUGUAUCAACUGUAGCACUGUUCGAGGAAAUUUAUUCAUGUAAGUGUAGCUCAAGUCCAAUACCCUAAGGUAUUUCAAAUGACGAAAUAAUUUGUGUGGCACACCGGAGAUUUUUGGUAGUAGCAACGUCUACAACUUGUGGGCCUUAUACAAGGUGGGCCAAAUGGAAACCACUUCAUGAGCAUCAUGACUGUCAGUUAAAAAAGAAUGACAAAUAUUGUUUUUGUUAAAUUGGACUCAUCUCCUAAGGUGAUCUGGUGAAAUUGAUGAAUAGAGCUUCUGCUGUAUGCUGGGGCACAGGAAAGUGGCAUCAAAUGCGAAUUACCUGUAAUUAGAGGUUAGUGAAUCUACUCUUAACCCACACUCUAUGAGGAAGUGGAUCCAAACAGGCCCUA